rnacentral:rRNA from 1 species
GAUGAACGCUGGCGGCGUGCCUAAUACAUGCAAGUCGAGCGAACAGACGAGGAGCUUGCUCCUCUGACGUUAGCGGCGGACGAGUGAGUAACACGUGGAUAACCUACCUAUAAGACUGGGAUAACUUCGGGAAACCGGAGCUAAUACCGGAUAAUAUAUUGAACCGCAUGGUUCAAUAGUGAAAGACGGUUUUGCUGUCACUUAUAGAUGGAUCCGCGCCGCAUUAGCUAGUUGGUAAGGUAACGGCUUACCAAGGCAACGAUGCGUAGCCGACCUGAGAGGGUGAUCGGCCACACUGGAACUGAGACACGGUCCAGACUCCUACGGGAGGCAGCAGUAGGGAAUCUUCCGCAAUGGGCGAAAGCCUGACGGAGCAACGCCGCGUGAGUGAUGAAGGUCUUCGGAUCGUAAAACUCUGUUAUUAGGGAAGAACAAAUGUGUAAGUAACUAUGCACGUCUUGACGGUACCUAAUCAGAAAGCCACGGCUAACUACGU